UACGGGUGGCAGCAGUGGGGAAUAUUGGACAAUGGGCGAAAGCCUGAUCCAGCCAUGCCGCGUGUGUGAAGAAGGCCUUCGGGUUGUAAAGCACUUUCAGUGGGGAAGAAAGCCUUGGGGCUAAUACCCUCGAGGAAGGACAUCACCCACAGAAGAAGCACCGGCUAACUCCGUGCCAGCAGCCGCGGUAAUACGGAGGGUGCGAGCGUUAAUCGGAAUUACUGGGCGUAAAGCGCGCGUAGGCGGUCUGAUAAGCCGGUUGUGAAAGCCCCGGGCUCAACCUGGGAACGGCAUCCGGAACUGUCAGGCUAGAGUGCAGGAGAGGAAGGUAGAAUUCCCGGUGUAGCGGUGAAAUGCGUAGAGAUCGGGAGGAAUACCAGUGGCGAAGGCGGCCUUCUGGACUGACACUGACGCUGAGGUGCGAAAGCGUGGGUAGCAAACAGGAUUAGAUACCCCUGUAGUC
rnacentral:rRNA from 1 species